AUCCGGCUGACGAGUCUCGAAUAAGACGAAACUCACGUCCUGGAU
rfam:Schistosoma mansoni strain Puerto Rico chromosome 1, complete genome